rnacentral:rRNA from 1 species
GAUGAACGCUAGCGAUAGGCUUAACACAUGCAAGUCGAGGGGCAGCAUGGUCUUAGCUUGCUAAGACUGAUGGCGACCGGCGCACGGGUGCGUAACGCGUAUGCAACUUGCCUCACAGAGGGGUAUAACCCGCCGAAAGACGGACUAAUACCGCGUACACUUUGGAUAGGGCGUCCUGACCCAAUGAAAUGAAUUUCGCUGUGCGAUAGGCAUGCGGGCCAUUAGCUAGUUGGUGAGGUUACGGCUCACCAAGGCGAGGAUGGGUAGGGGAACUGAGAGGAUGAGGCCUCACACUGGUACUGGCACAAGGACGAGAGACAUACGGGAGGCAGCAGUGAGGGAGAUUGGAGAAGGGGCGAUAGCAUGAACCGGCCAAGCCGCGUGAAGGAUGACUGUGUUAGGGAUUGUAAACUUCUGGUAGACGGCAACAACAGGAGCUGCGGGUGGGUGCGUGAAGGUACUGGAUGAAGAAGCACCGGCUAACUACGUG